rnacentral:rRNA from 1 species
UACGUAGGGGCGAGCGUUGUCCGGAAUGAUUGGGCGUAAAGGGCGCGUAGGCGGCUUGUUAAGUCUGGAGUGGAAGUCAUCUUUUCAAGGGUGGAAUUGCUUUGGAAACUGGCGGGCUUGAGUGCAGGAGAGGUUAUCGGAAUUCCCGGUGUAGCGGUGAAAUGCGUAGAGAUCGGGAGGAACACCAGUGGCGAAGGCGGGUAACUGGACUGCAACUGACGCUGAGGCGCGAAAGUGUGGGGAGCAAACAGGAUUAGAUACCCGUGUAGUCCCUGA